GUCUGGGACCUGGGCGCAUGCGCACUGUGUAGUGAGCGGUCCCGCCGGUUAUCUCGCGUUGUCCCAGCCCGCUCGCUACCCAGAGCCAUGGCGGACGAGGAGCUGGAGGCGCUCCGCAAGCAGCGGCUGGCUGAGCUGCAGGCUAAGCAUGGGGACCCUUCUGGUGAUCCAGCACAACAAGAAGCCAAACAGAGGGAGUCAGAGAUGAGAAAUAGCAUUUUAGCUCAAGUUCUGGAUCAAGCAGCUCGUGCCAGAUUAAGCAAUUUAGCACUUGUGAAGCCAGAAAAGGCAAAAGCUGUAGAGAAUUACCUUAUACAGAUGGCAAGAUUUGGACAGUUAGGUGGGAAGGUAUCAGAACAAGGAUUGAUAGAAAUACUUGAAAAAGUGAGCCAGCAAACAGAAAAGAAAACAACAGUGAAGAAGAGACUACUGCUUUUAAAAGCUGAUUCCGGAUUUCAAACUUUGGUUCCACGUGCUUAGCCAGUGACCAGUUCAGAUGAUUGAUUUUCUUUAAAUAUUUGGCAGCAAACAUGUACUACUUGAAUUUUUUCUAAUGAUUAAUAGUUCAACAGAAGAAAAGUACUGGAUUCUGAUGAAGAGGAUGAUGAUGAUUAAAUGCUACUGUAAGAUUGCUUAACUGCCUGGAAAAAGGCAAAGAACACAUACUGUAUAGGCAAAUUGAAAGUUCUGACGAAACAUUUAAAUGUAUUUGCUUUCUGCAUUUUUUUGAUAAAGGUCAAUAAAUAAAUGAACUCAUGUUCUGUAAAACAAAAUUUGAGAAGGGUUUUAUAGCUUAACUAUUUGUAGUAUUAAAGAGGCCUGUGUGGUAUGGAUUUUCCCACCGUAUUCUUAGCAUGAACUUUCCUUUGUCCUACUCAGCAUGUAAGCUAUGCUAUCAGCACUUGCCACUCCGUAAGUUGUUGCUACCAUAAGAGAGGUCUUGAGAGGGCAAUAAAAGAGUCUUAGGUUCACACAGCCAAAGCCUGUAGGGGCUGAAAGAAUGACAACUCUGUCACAACAGUUGAUACAGAAACAAGAUAUCCUUUAGUUGAGGGAUUAUCCAAUACCUCUACUGGUUCUCAAACUAUGGCUGGUGGAACCUUUUGUUGGAGUCUGCAGAAUAGAACUGCUGAUGAACAAGUUGGUGAAAAGAGAGGUGGUUCCUUGAGCGGAAUCUUACCAUGUAGUCUGCUGGAUGAAAUUGUACAUAGCAUAUAGUUUGAUUGAACCAGUUUCUUCUGGAAACUGUCAAGUUGUCUGUCUCUGCAGAAUGAGAUUAAAAAGUUGAGUAGAGUGGAUAUACAGUUGUGGUUGAAACUUAAUUGGAUAAUGUAAUACAACUCGUCAGAUAGUUGGUAACACAUGUUCUUUAUUCUCCUAUUUAUUAAAUGGUUGGAGUUUCCUUUUGUCAAAAAAGGAAAGGCACCUGCUCUAAAUUCCAUGUGACAUGCAUGCAUAAAGUAAAACUGACCCUGUGUUGUUAUCUUAUUUGAAAAUGCAGUUUGAAAAUUUGUGGUACAAAUACUAUUACAUCUUGUGUGAUAAGAUGGAAGUGAAAAGGGAAGAGACUUCACUACCAGAGAAGAGCUGUUUUCUGCUUUCAUUUAAGAGCAAAAGUGUACACUAUUCCAACUGUAACGGUUUGGAAUUGAUUAAAAUUUUGUUUAAAAAGGUA